AAAGAUUAAGCCAUGCAUGUCUAAGUAUAAGCAAUUAUACAGCGAAACUGCGAAUGGCUCAUUAUAUAAGUUAUCGUUUAUUUGAUAGUACCUUACUACUUGGAUAACCGUGGUAAUUCUAGAGCUAAUACAUGCUAAAAAUCCCGACUUCGGAAGGGAUGUAUUUAUUAGAUUAAAAACCAAUGCCCUUCGGGGCUCUCUGGUGAUUCAUGAUAACUUCUCGAAUCGCAUGGCCUUGUGCCGGCGAUGGUUCAUUCAAAUUUCUUCCCUAUCAACUUUCGAUGUUUGGGUAUUGGCCAAACAUGGUUGCAACGGGUAACGGGGAAU
rnacentral:rRNA from 1 species